UUUCGCCUCGUCGCUUCCCUUCUCUCUCCCCCUCCCUCUCCUCCUCCUCCUCCUCCUCCUCCUCCUCCCUCGCUGCACCUCGCGCGUUCAGUCUCUCCGCUUCCUCUCUCUCCCCCGCUCCUGACAUGUCGAGCCCGCCCCAACCCGCGCGCCCCGACCAGCCGCCGUCCACGGGCAUUCACGCUCCCGGCGCCGGUCGCUGGAGGCCGAUGUGUCUGUACCACGCCCAGGGGAAGUGCACCAUGAU
rnacentral:lncRNA from 1 species